rnacentral:lncRNA from 1 species
UCCGUACACAUUCUACUCGUUUCCAAAACCUCACAUCUUCAUUUCAGCCUUCACAAUUUACAGACAAAAAUUAUUAAAAUUGGGUUUGUCUACAUGUGCAUCGGGGUUGACGUACAGAUCCCCUCACAAGAGGAGGGACUUUAUUCGACAUUGUUCCCCUCUCUUGUGAAGGGGUCAGUACAACAAAUAGAAAAAUACAUUAAAAUUUCAGCUACCCAUAGACUUAGCAUUGAUGACAACAAACAGUUUUUUUUUUUUUCCCCAAUUCAACCCUUCAUUUGUGUCCUGGGAGAAAUGGAGGAUUGAUUUUUUCGAUUUUAACUGGAUCUGAUUCAUUUUUCUCGAUCAAAUGCUCAAAUUUUUCAUACUCUAGUAGCGGCAAGGCACGAUGCUUCAAUACUGCAUCGAUCUGUCUCAUUUUAAAGCCUAAACAGUUAGAAACGGGAUAUUUACUCGACAUCUACGUCCAAGGAUCUUCACAGGAAAAUAUCCGCCCUCACGCAGAGAAACAAAUGAAGAGCCUAAACAAGAUUGAAAAAUAAAGAAUAUAGAUCUUCUAAACAAAACUGCAUUCCUUUCCACUGAUUGAUAUCAGAAAAUUGAAAUAAAAAAAGGAACAAAACAGAUAAAAAUCAGGGUUUUGCAACAUAUAAACUCUAAUAUUGCGUACCAAACAUGGACUUAUCGUAGGCUAAGAAUCCAAGAUCAAGCGUCUCGAACACGAAGUACAAAUAUAUCUUCUCUUGAGGACAAAACAAAGGGGCAGAAAACAGAAGCUCCAUUUGGUCUGAACAUCAACUGAUUCUACCUUGCCUCCACAAUACGGGCAAGAUCCUGUCGCUUCUUGUCUACUUAACUCUUUUUCUUGUUCUCCGCAAAUGUAAAGAAAACACAUUCUUUCUUGCUUCUUGCUCUGAUCAGUACGUUUUGUGUUUUCUCGUUUUCUGGUUUGGAUGUGUGUCGGCCAAUCUAUGACUGCUUGUAUAUAAUAGAUAGAUUUUGGUGAUAAGAACUUUAGGUGGAGUUAAUGCUGGAUAAAAU